GACAGAAGGGAGCUGCGUGGAAAGGGUUGGCUGGGACUCCUGGACUCGGAGCUCUUCAGGAUGUAGAGCAGCAGCCAGGCGGGGGGUCAUGGGUAGCCCCGCGGCUGGCGGUUGUGAUGGAGGAAACUAGGAAAGAUGGGAGGUGGCAGGGCUCAGUCUGGUCCCUAUGGCCAGUGCCCAGGAAGGAUGUAUUCUCUGGCCGUGGGUACUCCGGGUCCUAGGAGUCAAGGGGAAGAGAUCCGGAGGAGCUCUAGCCACGGGCAAGCUUUGUGCCACCUUUUCAAGCCAGUGGCACCAGCUGAGUACUCUGCCUCUGGGCCCUCCUAAGGCCAUGUCUGUGGACUCAGUGCCCUUCCUGGCAUGCUGGCCUCCUGGUCAGCAGCUGUAGGGAUCAAGAUGGAGAACUCACUGCUCCUUCUCCAGCACCAUGUCUGCCUGCACACUUGCCACCAUAUCCCACCAUGAUGAUAAUGGACUAAACCUCUGAACUGU